rnacentral:rRNA from 1 species
UACGAAGGGGGCUAGCGUUGUUCGGAAUUACUGGGCGUAAAGGGUGCGUAGGCGGCUUUUUAAGUCGGAUGUGAAAACUCUGGGCUCAACCCAGAGCCUGCAUCCGAAACUGGAGAGCUUGGGUUCUGGAGGGGAAAGCGGAAUUCCUGGUGUAGCAGUGAAAUGCGUAGAUAUCAGGAGGAACACCGGUGGCGAAGGCGGCUUUCUGGACAAUAACUGACGCUGAGGCGCGAAAGCUAGGGGAGCAAACAGG